CUGUAACAUAAGAAUAUGUGGAAAAACUGAGGUUGUGAUAAAUAUCCGCAUUUUUGACAAAACCGAGUUGCAUUCGACCCUUAAAUAAGGAUGCUAGGUGGCUAGGUGUUAACAUUACUAUCUUAAUGUCUCACAUAAAGUCGCAUUUUGACCAAAAGUAACAAGAACGAUUUUCGAGUUUCACCCAUUGCUAGCUGGGUAUGUUAGCAUUACGAUUUUAACAUGUCAGAAAAAUGUGCAUUUGGACCACAAAUACCAAGAAUUGCUACUAGUAUGAGAUCGAGGUUGCGUCCUACAUUUCCAUCACAGUGCUCUGUGUCAUCAUUACAAUUUGAUGCUCUCGUAAAUGUCGCAUGUCACAAAAUGCUUUUUCUCCCCCACCACCGAAACGAUACAUCUCUGGGCUGUGAAAAGUAAUAGCACGCUCUUCCCGACUGUGCCGCACAUUUUGCUCUUUGAAUGCGUCGGUAUACGAUGAAUGAUGCCACGCAGACACAAAAACAAUAACAGCAAACAUAGAUGCAGUCGACGACUACAUCAGAGAUUUGCACUCAUGCGCAUUCGUAAAGGUGUAAAAACGUUGCCAGUUAGGCUGAAACAGUGAAGAGUAAUGUUCUUAUCUAGCAUAUAUCUCUCUCUAUUAUUUGUGCAUUGCUGUCACUCUUAUUAAAGCCAUAAAUCGAAAUGUAUACGUGUCAGAGCAUUAGCCGACAUGUGUACUGGCCCUCACGCCAGAUAUCCAGAUGAAUAAUUUAUCCAAAAUGAAUCAUAACACCAGCCAAGGAUUCUUCUUCUUCUUCCUUCUGUUUUUUGUGUCUGUUUUUUUUUCGUGUGUCAGAUUCCUGUGCACAUUCGGCCUCGCAUAAAUGAGCUAGCUGCCUCCACGGGCAGAUUUGCAUAGAAAAACCCUGCAAUGUGGCGUGGAAAGGGAGCAAUUAGGAUUCACGCCGGCGCCUCGUCUCCGGAUGCUCGGCCGCCGCGUGAGACGGGAACGGCUGAUUGAUAUGGACGAGCAUGGCCAAACUCUUCAUGCGUCAUCUCGCGCCAGGUGGCGCUCGUUCACCAGUGGAGUCAUGCUGGCUGCAUAGAGACGCCCCAAUCUCAUCAUUGUCGCUCGUCCUCGCCCCACCGACGCCCCCUUGGGGAGCAAGGAGGGAUUAUGUCAAAGCAAUUCAAUUGUACGAGUCAAGGUUCCUUUGCAAACGUUGAAAUCUUCCCACCUCGCACUUCCUCUAUUUGCGUUGCACUUC